CCCUUAGAUGUCCUGGGCCGCACGCGCGUUACACUGAUGCAUUCAACGAGCUUAUAACCUUGGCCGAGAGGCCUGGGCAAUCUUGUUAACGUGCAUCGUGAUAGGGAUAGAUUAUUGAAAUUAUUAAUCUUGAACGAGGAAUUCCUAGUAAACGCAGACCAUCAAUCUGCAUUGAUUACGUCCCUGCCCUUUGUACACACCGCCCGUCGCACCUACCGAUUGGAUGGUCCGGUGAAGCCUCGGGAUUGUGGUUCUUGCCGCUUUAUUGUGGCGUGACCGCGAGAACUUGUCUAAACCUUAUCAUCUAGAGGAAGGUGAAGUCGUAACA
rnacentral:rRNA from 1 species